rnacentral:rRNA from 1 species
UACGAAGGGGGCUAGCGUUGCUCGGAAUCACUGGGCGUAAAGCGCACGUAGGCGGCUUUUUAAGUCAGGGGUGAAAUCCUGGAGCUCAACUCCAGAACUGCCUUUGAUACUGGGAAGCUCGAGUCCGGGAGAGGUGAGUGGAACUCCGAGUGUAGAGGUGAAAUUCGUAGAUAUUCGCAAGAACACCAGUGGCGAAGGCGGCUCACUGGCCCGAUACUGACGCUUAGGCACGAAAGCGUGGGGAGCAAACAGG